GAAUCUAAAAUAUAACUGUAAUAUUGCUUGAAUUUCGCAAGAAGAUCGUUGCUUAAAAUUAUGAGGAGAAAAGUGUAUACCUCGUAAAAUACUGAAAUAUAGACCCUCAAAUACUAUUGAAUACUAGGUUCCUUCAGUUUACAGCACAGUUACCAGGGGUCCAGUCAGCAUCCAGUUUUCAGCCACGGAUACUCACCUUUUCAAACACAAAAUGUAUUUGUCAUCCUUAUGCACUUCCAGGAAUAAAGAUAACCGCCUAUUAGAGGAGAAUGAAUUUCUAUCGGCAUGUAUAGUUACGGA